AGAAAAGCUGUGAAGGUGUUUAUAGAGGAUCAUUUUCUCACAGAGAAGGGAGGUCGCCGGCUGUAAGCUUCCCCGGGUUCAGAUGAUUCUUGAAUUUCCCACCGGAGCUUCCUCUCUGAAGUAACAGUAGGAGAUGACGUGCGCUGCGCGUUAAGCAGAUAAGAGGUGCCCGUGAUCUUUUCAUGGGAAACUGGGUGGUACCGCGGAUAUUCCGUCCCUUUU
rfam:Ruminococcus sp. CAG:17 genomic scaffold, scf84